rnacentral:rRNA from 1 species
CACGUAGGGUGCGAGCGUUGUCCGGAAUUAUUGGGCGUAAAGAGCUCGUAGGCGGUGUGUCGCGUCGGCCGUGAAAACCUGCAGCUUAACUGUGGGCUUGCGGUCGAUACGGGCAUCACUGGAGUUCGGCAGGGGAGACUGGAAUUCCUGGUGUAGCGGUGAAAUGCGCAGAUAUCAGGAGGAACACCGGUGGCGAAGGCGGGUCUCUGGGCCGAUACUGACGCUGAGGCUCGAAGGCCAGGGGAGCGAAAGGG